rnacentral:rRNA from 1 species
AGAGCGAACGCUGGCGGCAGGCCUAAAACAUGCAAGUCGAACGCCCGUAGCAAUACGGGAGUGGCAGACGGGUGAGUAACACGUGGGAACGUGCCCUUUGGUCCGGAACAACCCAGGGAAACUUGGGCUAAUACUGGAUAAGCCCUUACGGGGAAAGAUUUAUCGCCAGUAGGAGUCGGCCCGCGUCUGAUUAGCUAGUUGGUGAGGUAACGGCUCACCAAGGCUACGAUCAGUAGCUGGUCUGAGAGGAUGACUCACGCCACUA